CAUAGCGUAAUGAAGCGAACCGGGGGAACUGAAACAUCUAAGUACCCCGAGGAAAAGAAAUCAACCGAGAUUCCCCCAGUAGCGGCGAGCGAACGGGGAGCAGCCCAGAGUCUGAAUCAGCUUGUGUGUUAGUGGAACGGUCUGGAAAGUCCGACGGUACAGGGUGAUAGUCCCGUACACCAAAAUGCACAGGUUGUGAACUCGAAGAGUAGGGCGGGACACGUGGUAUCCUGUCUGAAUAUGGGGGGACCAUCCUCCAAGGCUAAAUACUCCUGACUGACCGAUAGUGAACCAGUACCGUGAGGGAAAGGCGAAAAGAACCCCGGCGAGGGGAGUGAAAAAGAACCUGAAACCGUGUACGUACAAGCAGUGGGAGCCUCUUUAUGGGGUGACUGCGUACCUUUUGUAUAAUGGGUCAGCGACUUAUAUUCUGUAGCAAGGUUAACCGUAUAGGGGAGCCGAAGGGAAACCGAGUCUUAACUGGGCGUUAAGUUGCAGGGUAUAGACCCGAAACCCGGUGAUCUAGCCAUGGGCAGGUUGAAGGUUGGGUAACACUAACUGGAGGACCGAACCGACUAAUGUUGAAAAAUUAGCGGAUGACUUGUGGCUGGGGGUGAAAGGCCAAUCAAACCGGGAGAUAGCUGGUUCUCCCCGAAAGCUAUUUAGGUAGCGCCUCGUGAAUUCAUCUUCGGGGGUAGAGCACUGUUUCGGCUAGGGGGUCAUCCCGACUUACCAACCCGAUGCAAACUGCGAAUACCGAAGAAUGUUAUCACGGGAGACACACGGCGGGUGCUAACGUCCGUCGUGAAGAGGGAAACAACCCAGACCGCCAGCUAAGGUCCCAAAGUCAUGGUUAAGUGGGAAACGAUGUGGGAAGGCACAGACAGCCAGGAUGUUGGCUUAGAAGCAGCCAUCAUUUAAAGAAAGCGUAAUAGCUCACUGGUCGAGUCGGCCUGCGCGGAAGAUGUAACGGGGCUAAACCAUGCACCGAAGCUGCGGCAGCGACACUAUGUGUUGUUGGGUAGGGGAGCGUUCUGUAAGCCGUUGAAGGUGUGCUGUGAGGCAUGCUGGAGGUAUCAGAAGUGCGAAUGCUGACAUAAGUAACGAUAAUGCGGGUGAAAAACCCGCACGCCGGAAGACCAAGGGUUCCUGUCCAACGUUAAUCGGGGCAGGGUGAGUCGACCCCUAAGGCGAGGCCGAAAGGCGUAGUCGAUGGGAAACAGGUUAAUAUUCCUGUACUUGGUGUUACUGCGAAGGGGGGACGGAGAAGGCUAUGUUAGCCGGGCGACGGUUGUCCCGGUUUAAGCAUGUAGGCGGAGGUUCCAGGUAAAUCCGGUACCUUUUUAACGCUGAGGUGUGAUGACGAGGCACUACGGUGCUGAAGUAACAAAUGCCCUGCUUCCAGGAAAAGCCUCUAAGCAUCAGGUAACACGAAAUCGUACCCCAAACCGACACAGGUGGUCAGGUAGAGAAUACCAAGGCGCUUGAGAGAACUCGGGUGAAGGAACUAGGCAAAAUGGUGCCGUAACUUCGGGAGAAGGCACGCUGAUAUGUAGGUGAAGUGAUUUACUCAUGGAGCUGAAAUCAGUCGAAGAUACCAGCUGGCUGCAACUGUUUAUUAAAAACACAGCACUGUGCAAACACGAAAGUGGACGUAUACGGUGUGACGCCUGCCCGGUGCCGGAAGGUUAAUUGAUGGGGUUAUCCGUAAGGAGAAGCUCUUGAUCGAAGCCCCGGUAAACGGCGGCCGUAACUAUAACGGUCCUAAGGUAGCGAAAUUCCUUGUCGGGUAAGUUCCGACCUGCACGAAUGGCGUAAUGAUGGCCAGGCUGUCUCCACCCGAGACUCAGUGAAAUUGAACUCGCUGUGAAGAUGCAGUGUACCCGCGGCAAGACGGAAAGACCCCGUGAACCUUUACUAUAGCUUGACACUGAACACUGGUCCUUGAUGUGUAGGAUAGGUGGGAGGCUUUGAAGUGUGGACGCCAGUCUGCAUGGAGCCAUCCUUGAAAUACCACCCUUUAAUGGCUGGUGUUCUAACGUGGACCCGUAAUCCGGGUUGCGGACAGUGUCUGGUGGGUAGUUUGACUGGGGCGGUCUCCUCCUAAAGAGUAACGGAGGAGCACGAAGGUUAGCUAAUCCUGGUCGGACAUCAGGAGGUUAGUGCAAAGGCAUAAGCUAGCUUGACUGCGAGAGUGACGGCUCGAGCAGGUGCGAAAGCAGGUCUUAGUGAUCCGGUGGUUCUGAAUGGAAGGGCCAUCGCUCAACGGAUAAAAGGUACUCCGGGGAUAACAGGCUGAUACCGCCCAAGAGUUCAUAUCGACGGCGGUGUUUGGCACCUCGAUGUCGGCUCAUCACAUCCUGGGGCUGAAGUAGGUCCCAAGGGUAUGGCUGUUCGCCAUUUAAAGUGGUACGCGAGCUGGGUUUAGAACGUCGUGAGACAGUUCGGUCCCUAUCUGCCGUGGGCGCUGGAGAAUUGAGGGGGGCUGCUCCUAGUACGAGAGGACCGGAGUGGACGCAUCACUGGUGUUCGGGUUGUCAUGCCAAUGGCAUUGCCCGGUAGCUAAAUGCGGAAGAGAUAAGUGCUGAAAGCAUCUAAGCACGAAACUUGCCCCG
rnacentral:rRNA from 1 species